AGUAGUAAUAUUAAUAAUCAUAAUUAAAAUCAUAAUAAUAACAGUGUUGUUAUUAUUAUUGUUAAUAAUUAUAUAAUAAUAAUAAUAAUAAUAAUAAUAAUAAUAAUAAUAAUAAUAAUGAUAAUAAU
rnacentral:miRNA from 10 species